GACGAACGCUGGCGGCGUGCUUAACACAUGCAAGUCGAACGGUGAAGCGCCUUCCUUUUUGGUGGGUGUGGAUGAGUGGCGAACGGGUGAGUAACACGUGAGUAACCUGCCCCCUUCUUCUGGAUAACCGCAUGAAAGUGUGGCUAAUACGGGAUAUUCUGGGUCUGUCGCAUGAUGGGUCUGGGAAAGAUAUUGUUUCGGUGGGGGAUGGGCUCGCGGCCUAUCAGCUUGUCGGUGGGGUGAUGGCCUACCAAGGCGGUGACGGGUAGCCGGCCUGAGAGGGUGGACGGUCACACUGGGACUGAGACACGGCCCAGACUCCUACGGGAGGCAGCAGUGGGGAAUAUUGCACAAUGGGCGCAAGCCUGAUGCAGCGACGCCGCGUGAGGGAUGGAGGCCUUCGGGUUGUGAACCUCUUUCGCCAGUGAAGCAGGCCUGCCUCGUUUGUGGGUGGGUUGACGGUAGCUGGAUAAGAAGCGCCGGCUAACUACGUG
rnacentral:rRNA from 1 species